rnacentral:rRNA from 1 species
GGCGGACGGCUGAGUAACGCGUAGUGUGACCUGCCCCGAAGUGGGGAAUAACUGCCCGAAAGGGUGGCUAAUACCGCUAUGUGGUGGUGUGUUCAUGUCACACCAGUAAAGCCUGCAAGGCGCUUCGGGAGGGGCCUGCAGUCCGAUUAGCUCGUUGGUGGGGUAACUGGCUCACCAAGGCGACGAUCGGUAGGUGGUCUGAGAGGACGAUCACCCAGACUGGGACUGAGACAGGGUCCAGACUCAUACGGGAGGCAGCAGUCGGGAAUUUUGCGCAAUGGGCGAAAGCCUGACGCAGCAACGCCGCGUGAGGGAUGACGGCCUUCGGGUUGUAAACCUCUUUUAUCAGGGAAGAUAAUGACGGUACCUGAUGAAUAAGUCACGGCUAACUACGUGCCAGCAGCCGCGG